rfam:Desulfovibrio bizertensis DSM 18034 genome assembly, contig: BR26DRAFT_scaffold_1000
AAACUGGAGAGUUUGAUUCUGGCUCAGAUUGAACGCUGGUGGCGUGCUUAACACAUGCAAGUCGAGCGAGAAAGCUUCUUCGGAAGUGAGUAGAGCGGCGCACGGGUGAGUAACGCGUGGAUAAUCUACCUAGAAGACUGGGAUAACAGUUGGAAACGACUGCUAAUACCGGAUACGUCCUUGUUUUAUUUCAAGGGGAAAGAUGGCCUCUGUUUCAUGCUUUCACUUCUAGAUGAGUCCGCGUUCCAUUAGCUUGAUGGUGGGGUAACGGCCUACCAUGGCGACGAUGGAUAACUGGUCUAAGAGGAUGAUCAGUCACACUGGGACUGGAACACGGCCCAGACUCCUACGGGAGGCAGCAGUGGGGAAUAUUGCGCAAUGGGGGAAACCCUGACGCAGCGACGCCACGUGAGGGAUGAAGGUUUUCGGAUCGUAAACCUCUGUCAGAAGGGAAGAAACUAGGUUGGUACAAUAUGCCAGUCUACUGACGGUACCUUCAAAGGAAGCACCGGCUAACUCCGUGCCAGCAGCCGCGGUAAUACGGAGGGUGCAAGCGUUAAUCGGAAUUACUGGGCGUAAAGCGUGCGUAGGUGGUUUACCAAGUCAGGUGUGAAAGCCCACGGCUCAACCGUGGAAUUGCACUUGAAACUGGUAAACUAGAGUCCUGGAGAGGGUAGUAGAAUUCCCGGUGUAGGAGUGAAAUCCGUAGAUAUCGGGAGGAAUACCAGUGGCGAAGGCGACUACCUGGACAGUGACUGACGCUGAGGUACGAAAGUGUGGGGAGCAAACAGGAUUAGAUACCCUGGUAGUCCACACUGUAAACGAUGGAUACUAGAUGUCGGGUGGCAACAUUCGGUGUCGUAGCUAACGCAUUAAGUAUCCCGCCUGGGGAGUACGGUCGCAAGGCUGAAACUCAAAGAAAUUGACGGGGGCCCGCACAAGCGGUGGAGUAUGUGGUUUAAUUCGAUGCAACGCGAAGAACCUUACCUGGGUUUGACAUCCUGCGAAUCUCUCAGAGAUGAGAGAGUGCCCUUCGGGGAAUGCAGUGACAGGUGCUGCAUGGCUGUCGUCAGCUCGUGCCGUGAGGUGUUGGGUUAAGUCCCGCAACGAGCGCAACCCCUAUUGUUAGUUGCUAACAGGUGAUGCUGAGCACUCUAGCGAGACUGCCCGGGUUAACCGGGAGGAAGGUGGGGACGACGUCAAGUCAUCAUGGCCCUUACGCCCAGGGCUACACACGUACUACAAUGGUGCAGACAAUGGGCAGCUACGCCGCGAGGCCAAGCGAAUCCCAAAAACUGCAUCCCAGUCCGGAUUGGAGUCUGCAACUCGACUCCAUGAAGUUGGAAUCGCUAGUAAUCCCGGAUCAGCAUGCCGGGGUGAAUACGUUCCCGGGCCUUGUACACACCGCCCGUCACACCACGAAAGUUGGUUUUACCCGAAGUCGUCGAGCUAACCCUUGGGAGGCAGGCGCCGACGGUAGGGCCGAUAAUUGGGGUGAAGUCGUAACAAGGUAGCCGUAGGGGAACCUGCGGCUGGAUCACCUCCUUU